AGUCAUGUUUAGUAGCCAAGGAUGACUUGCCUGAUCUUUUUCGCCUCCACGAUUCAAUUUCAAGUUCAUGGGUUUUGGAUUAUUAUGCAUAUAUCUAAAACGUAUAAUAAUUCGAAAAUCAUGUUGAAUCUUGCGGGUUAGGUUUCAGGCAGUCUCUUUGGCUAUCUUGACAUGCUUU
rnacentral:pre_miRNA from 1 species